rnacentral:rRNA from 1 species
CAGGCUUAACACAUGCAAGUCGAGGGGCAGCAUGGUCUUAGCUUGCUAAGGCCGAUGGCGACCGGCGCACGGGUGAGUAACACGUAUCCAACCUGCCGUCUACUCUUGGACAGCCUUCUGAAAGGAAGAUUAAUACAAGAUGGCAUCAUGAGUCCGCAUGUUCACAUGAUUAAAGGUAUUCCGGUAGACGAUGGGGAUGCGUUCCAUUAGAUAGUAGGCGGGGUAACGGCCCACCUAGUCUUCGAUGGAUAGGGGUUCUGAGAGGAAGGUCCCCCACAUUGGAACUGAGACACGGUCCAAACUCCUACGGGAGGCAGCAGUGAGGAAUAUUGGUCAAUGGGCGAGAGCCUGAACCAGCCAAGUAGCGUGAAGGAUGACUGCCCUAUGGGUUGUAAACUUCUUUUAUAAAGGAAUAAAGUCGGGUAUGCAUACCCGUUUGCAUGUACUUUAUGAAUAAGGAUCGGCUAACUCCGUGCCAGCAGCCGCGGUAAUACGGAGGAUCCGAGCGUUAUCCGGAUUUAUUGGGUUUAAAGGGAGCGUAGAUGGAUGUUUAAGUCAGUUGUGAAAGUUUGCGGCUCAACCGUAAAAUUGCAGUUGAUACUGGAUAUCUUGAGUGCAGUUGAGGCAGGCGGAAUUCGUGGUGUAGCGGUGAAAUGCUUAGAUAUCACGAAGAACUCCGAUUGCGAAGGCAGCCUGCUAAGCUGCAACUGACAUUGAGGCUCGAAAGUGUGGGUAUCAAACAGGAUUAGAUACCCUGGUAGUCCACACGGUAAACGAUGAAUACUCGCUGUUUGCGAUAUACAGCAAGCGGCCAAGCGAAAGCGUUAAGUAUUCCACCUGGGGAGUACGCCGGCAACGGUGAAACUCAAAGGAAUUGACGGGGGCCCGCACAAGCGGAGGAACAUGUGGUUUAAUUCGAUGAUACGCGAGGAACCUUACCCGGGCUUAAAUUGCAGAUGAAUUACGGUGAAAGCCGUAAGCCGCAAGGCAUCUGUGAAGGUGCUGCAUGGUUGUCGUCAGCUCGUGCCGUGAGGUGUCGGCUUAAGUGCCAUAACGAGCGCAACCCUUGUUGUCAGUUACUAACAGGUUCCGCUGAGGACUCUGACAAGACUGCCAUCGUAAGAUGUGAGGAAGGUGGGGAUGACGUCAAAUCAGCACGGCCCUUACGUCCGGGGCUACACACGUGUUACAAUGGGGGGUACAGAGGGCCGCUACCACGCGAGUGGAUGCCAAUCCCAAAAACCUCUCUCAGUUCGGACUGGAGUCUGCAACCCGACUCCACGAAUCUGGAUUCGCUAGUAAUCGCGCAUCAGCCACGGCGCGGUGAAUACGUUCCCGGGCCUUGUACACACCGCCCGUCAAGCCAUGGGAGCCGGGGGUACCUGAAGUGCGUAACCGCGAGGAGCGCCCUAGGGUAAAACUGGUGACUGGGGCUAA